rnacentral:rRNA from 1 species
ACUCAAAUGAAUAGACGGGGACCCGCACAAGCGGUGGAUUAUGUGGAUUAAUUCGAUGCAACGCGAAAAACCUUACCUACCCUUGACAUGUCCGAGAGCCCGUAGAGAUAUGGGUGUGCCCGAAAGGGAAUCGGAACACAGGUGCUGCAUGGCUGUCGUCAGCUCGUGUCGUGAGAUGUUGGGUUAAGUCCCGCAACGAGCGCAACCCUUGUCAUUAGUUGCUACAUUCAGUUGGGCACUCUAAUGAGACUGCCGGUGACAAACCGGAGGAAGGUGGGGAUGACGUCAAGUCCUCAUGGCCCUUAUGGGUAGGGCUUCACACGUAAUACAAUGGCGCGUACAGAGGGUUGCCAAGCCGCGAGGUGGAGCCAAUCCCACAAAGCGCGUCGUAGUCCGGAUUGCAGUCUGCAACUCGACUGCAUGAAGUCGGAAUCGCUAGUAAUCGUGGAUCAGCAUGUCACGGUGAAUACGUUCCCGGGUCUUGUACACACCGCCCGU